UGGCUCACGCAUGUUCUAAAUAAUAAUUCCAAGACAAACCUAAACAUCCGACCAUUACAUAUAUUAGUGUCCUAAAUUUCUAAAUACUCGUUACUGAGAUGUACAAAUAUGUAAUCUACUAUAUAAGUUCAAGUUACGGCUACUCAAGAAACUACAGACUCUCGUGACCUAUAAAAUACCGUCAACUAGAUUUCGAAGAAGCUAGCUAGAUGUCCGACUCGAAUCAGCUGAUCGAAACAAUGUUUAUGCAACUUCUGAAAAAAGCUCCAGUCAAACAACCAGAAGCGGAUCCGCUGGAAUGGGAUAUCCUUUCAUUUUAAAUUUGUAUGUACGAGUGUGCUGAAUAAAUGAUAUUGAUUUCACA